rnacentral:rRNA from 1 species
GGGGAAUAUUGGACAAUGGGCGCAAGCCUGAUCCAGCCACGCCGCGUGAGUGAUGAAGGCCUUCGGGUCGUAAAGCUCUGUGGGGAGGGACGAACGACCGGGUGUAGAGCCCGGGUUGACGGUACCUCCUUAGCAAGCACCGGCUAACUUCGUGCCAGCAGCCGCGGUAAUACGAAGGGUGCAAACGUUGCUCGGAAUCAUUGGGCGUAAAGCGCACGUAGGCGGCUUCGCAAGUCGGAUGUGAAAUCCCUCGGCUCAACCGAGGACGUGCAUCCGAAACUGCGAGGCUUGAGUACAGAAGAGGAUCGCGGAAUUCCCGGUGUAGAGGUGAAAUUCGUAGAUAUCGGGAGGAACACCAGUGGCGAAGGCGGCGAUCUGGGCUGAUACUGACGCUGAGGUGCGAAAGCGUGGGGAGCAAAC